UACAGAGGUCUCAAGCGUUGUUCGGAUUCAUUGGGCGUAAAGGGUGCGUAGGCGGCGCGGUAAGUCGGGUGUGAAAUCUCGGAGCUUAACUUCGAAACUGCAUUCGAUACUGCCGUGCUUGAGGACUGGAGAGGAGACUGGAAUUUACGGUGUAGCGGUGAAAUGCGUAGAUAUCGUAAGGAAGACCAGUGGCGAAGGCGGGUCUCUGGACAGUUCCUGACGCUGAGGCACGAAGGCCAGGGGAGCAAACGGGAUUAGA
rnacentral:rRNA from 1 species